UGAGGAAUCUUCCACAAUGGGCGCAAGCCUGAUGGAGCGACACCGCGUGAAGGAUGAAGGUCUAACGAUUGUAAACUUCUUUUCUGAGGGAGCAUAAUGAGAGUACCUCAGGAAUAAGAGACGGCUAAAUAUGUGCCAGCAGCCGCGGUAAUACAUAUGUCUCGAGUGUUAUCCGGAAUUACUGGGUGUAAAGCGUCUGUAGGUUGUGAUAUAAGUUGGAUAUGAAAGACCGAAGCUUAACUUCGUGUUUGUGUUCAAAACUGUAUUACUAGAAUUAGGGAGGGGUAAGCGGAAUUCUAAGUGUAGGGGUGCAAUCCGUAGAUACUUAGAAGAACACCAAAAGCGAAGGCAGCUUACUGGAACUAUAUUGACACUGAGAGACGAAAGCAUGGGGAGCGAAAAGG
rnacentral:rRNA from 1 species